UUUGAUGUCUUUUUUUGCUUCUACAGGGAGGUUAUGUGGAGUUCCAUCGAGGGGCGUGGCGAGUUCAUGGAAUACUAGCUAUCUCCAGAAGCAUUGGGGAUGCACAUUUAAAGAAAUGGGUGGUUGCUGAACCUGAGACACGAAUACUCGAUUUGGAACAAGAUAUGGAGUUUCUUGUCUUAGCUUCUGAUGGACUCUACCGGAGACACGAAUACUCGAUUUGGAACAAGAUAUGGAGUUUCUUGUCUUAGCUUCUGAUGGACUCUGGGAUGUGGUUAGUAACCAAGAAGCAGUUGACACUGUACUGAGCGUUCUAGCUCAGAGAAAGACACCUAGAGAAACCGAGG
rnacentral:lncRNA from 1 species